UACGAAGGGGGCUAGCGUUGCUCGGAAUCACUGGGCGUAAAGGGUGCGUAGGCGGGUCUUUAAGUCAGGGGUGAAAUCCUGGAGCUCAACUCCAGAACUGCCUUUGAUACUGAAGAUCUUGAGUUCGGGAGAGGUGAGUGGAACUGCGAGUGUAGAGGUGAAAUUCGUAGAUAUUCGCAAGAACACCAGUGGCGAAGACGGCUCUCUGGCCCGAUACUGACGCUGAGGCACGAAGGUCAGGGGAGCAAACGGG
rnacentral:rRNA from 1 species